CGUAGGAGGUAGGUGGUCAAUGAGUGUAUGGAAGUUGGGCUCUUUUAGACGGGCGGCUACCCAGCCUGGGGGCAGUGGGGGGGAGUGGGGCAGGCUGAUUUGGUCACUCAUGCUCGGAUCAGCUUGUCCGCAGUCCCCGCCUGAGCUGGAGUCACUAACACGAGCGCUGGAGGUUCCCGCGUGGGCUCCGUCUCCUCUGCCCGGCUGGCGUUCGUGGGGUUUGUCUCGCUAAUACAGUGUGAAACGGGAUAAUCCGCGAACGGGGCGGGGCUGGUUUCUCGUGUCUCCUUGGGGUCCUCCAGGGGAUGGUAAAAUCUCCACUGUACCCAACGUGGAGGUGAAGCCCCCUCCGAUUACUGCAUGGGAAAUAAACCCCCGUUCUUCCCGGGAGAUCUCGCCUAACCCCAGAUCCGUUUCCUUUCACGAACGCCUGGAAGUUUUACCGCUGUAACUUUCAGUGGGGGGGUGAGGGGGGGUUAACCUCUUUCCUUUGAUCGCACACCCGGGGGGUUGAGGUGAGGGGCUGUGAUCCUAAUCCCCACCCUGCUGAUUCCCCACUCCUAACGCAGGGAAGGCAGCCGGCCGGCUACUGCUGAGUCCCACUUGGGCGGACAGUCUGCAUUUCCGAGGGAUGCAUUUUGCCCCACUCGGCGUUGGGGCAGGGCCCACGAUCCCCCCCGGCGCCUUGAGCUCUGCAUUCGCCAUGUUUUCCAUCCGUGAAUAGUCAUACCCGUAUAACCCCCAAUGUGGGCCACUUCGACCAGUGGAAAGGGGACGCAUGCAACUUCGAUGCUGGUACAGCUGCGGCCAGCGUGGUGAUUUGAUCGUACCAGGCUCGUUAACGCGAUGCAACUUUCUAGAGAACCUCGUGGGCCAGUUACUUCUCUGUAGGCAGGGGGCGGUGUAGCCGGGUCGGCCCCAGGAUCUCUGAGACACAAGAGAGUUGCCAGUCCCGGGCUUUGCAUGGCCAAGCAGGCUGGCUGCUGAGGAGAGGGUUCGCCAGAUGCAACAGAGGAUGGCCAGACUUCAGCUCCAAGUCGAAAAAGCACGGGAAGAUCAGCGGAAACUGUAUCCCCUUGAAAGUCCAGUUUCUAACCACGCUGAAGUGAAGCUGGAAUUAGAUGGAGCACGGAAAGAUCUCAGCCAUUGCUCAGGAGCAGAUUGAAGUGGAUGGUCAGGUUGAAGCCCGAACUGAGGAAGGCCAGGGGAGGUUUCUGGCAGGUGACGGAUGGUUGGCAGGUACAGCAUGUAAAAGUGAACCUGAGAAGGUGACUGUGGCUGGCUGGAAGUAGCUCCGGGGAGUGAGAAGAGCAGCAGUUUACGUGGUAAGGAAGCUGCCCGACUCUCCCAGUAUUUGUCUGUCACCAGCCCUGGGUGCUGGGACAAGGAGAUUCUGGCGGAGCCUAGGCAGCCUUGUGAGCUGGUGGCUGGGUUUAGUCAGCAGGGUGGGAAGGCGAGGAGAUGAGUGUCCCUGGACCUGACCUGUUAGCUGGGUGGAGAAUUGGGACAGUGAAGGAA